UAACCCCUACCUGCCCACCAUACUUACCUGGCAGCAGCGGGGAUCAUGUUUCUUGGUCUUGACUCAGAAAAUUCAUAUAUGCUUCCUUACUAAUGAGACUUUCUAUACAACAAAGUGAGGUCAUUCUUUGUUGAUUUAUACCAUAAGGUGCUGGCUAUCAUGUGUUUGAAGGUACCCUAAACUUAACCUAACAAAACCCCAAACAGUCACUAUACGUCUUGACUCAGAAAAUUCAUAUAUGGUUCCUUACUAAUGAGACUUUCUAUACAACAAAGUGAGGUCAUUCUUUGUUGAUUUAUACCAUAAGGUGCUGGCUGUCAUGUGUUUGAAGAUACCCUAAACUUAACCUAACCUAACCUCACAAAACCCCAAACAGUUACUAUAGGUCUCGACUCAGAAAAUUCAUAUAUGCUUCCUUACUAAUAAGACUUUCUAUACAACAAAGUGAGGUCAUUCUUUGUUGAUUUAUACCAUAAGGUGCUGGCUGUCAUGUGUUUGAAGAUACCCUAAACUUAACCUAACAAAACCCCAAACAGUCACUAUAGGUCUUGACUCAGAAAAUUCAUAUAUGCUUCCUUACUAAUGAGACUUUCUAUACAACAAAGUGAGGUCAUUCUUUGUUGAUUUAUACCAUAAGGUGCUGGCUAUCAUGUGUUUGAAGAUACCCUAAACUUAACCUAACAAAACCCCAAACAGUCACUAUAGGUCUUGACUCAGAAAAUUCAUAUAUGCUUCCUUACUAAUGAGACUUUCUAUGCAACAAAGUGAGGUCAUUCUUUGUUGAUUUAUACCAUAAGGUGCUGGCUGUCAUGUGUUUGAAGAUACCCUAAACUUAACCUAACAAAACCCCAAACAGUUACUAUAGGUCUUGACUCAGAAAAUUCAUAUAUGCUUCCUUACUAAUGAGACUUUCUAUACAACAAAGUGAGGUCAUUCUUUGUUGAUUUAUACCAUAAGGUGCUGGCUGUCAUGUGUUUGAAGAUACCCUAAACUUAACCUAACAAAACCCCAAACAGUUACUAUAGGUCCUGACUCAGAAAAUUCAUAUAUGCUUCCUUACUAAUGAGACUUUCUAUACAACAAAGUGAGGUCAUUCUUUGUUGAUUUAUACCAUAAGGUGCUGGCUAUCAUGUGUUUGAAGAUACCCUAAACUUAACCUAACAAAACCCCAAACAGUUACUAUAGGUCUUGACUCAGAAAAUUCAUAUAUGCUUCCUUACUAAUGAGACUUUCUAUACAACAAAGUGAGGUCAUUCUUUGUUGAUUUAUACCAUAAGGUGCUGGCUAUCAUGUGUUUGAAGAUACCCUAAACUUAACCUAACAAAACCCCAAACAGUCACUAUAGGUCUUGACUCAGAAAAUUCAUCUAUGGUUCCUUACUAAUGAGACUUUCUAUACAACAAAGUGAGGUCAUUCUUUGUUGAUUUAUACCAUAAGGUGCUGGCUGUCAUGUGUUUGAAGAUACCCUAAACCUAACCUAACAAAACCCCAAACAGUCACUAUAGGUCUUGACUCAGAAAAUUCAUAUAUGCUUCCUUACUAAUGAGACUUUCUAUACAACAAAGUGAGGUCAUUCUUUGUUGAUUUAUACCAUAAGGUGCUGGCUAUCAUGUGUUUGAAGAUACCCUAAACUUAACCUAACCUAACCUAACAAAACCCCAAACAGUCACUAUAGGUCUUGACUCAGAAAAUUCAUAUAUGCUUCCUUACUAAUGAGACUUUCUAUACAACAAAGUGAGGUCAUUCUUUGUUGAUUUAUACCAUAAGGUGCUGGCUGUCAUGUGUUUGAAGAUACCCUAAACUUAACCUAACAAAACCCCAAACAGUCACUAUAGGUCUUGACUCAGAAAAUUCAUAUAUGCUUCCUUACUAAUGAGACUUUCUAUACAACAAAGUGAGGUCAUUCUUUGUUGAUUUAUACCAUAAGUCGCUGGCUAUCAUGUGUUUGAAGAUACCCUAAACUUAACCUAACCUAACCUAACCUAACAAAACCCCAAACAGUCACUAUAGGUCUUGACUCAGAAAAUUCAUAUAUGCUUCCUUACUAAUGAGACUUUCUAUACAACAAAGUGAGGUCAUUCUUUGUUGAUUUAUACCAUAAGGUGCUGGCUAUCAUGUGUUUGAAGAUACCCUAAAUUUAACCUAACAAAACCCCAAACAGUCACUAUAGGUCUUGACUCAGAAAAUUCAUAUAUGCUUCCUUACUAAUGAGACUUUCUAUACAACAAAGUGAGGUCAUUCUUUGUUGAUUUAUACCUGAAUAUCUGUGCUGUUCCACUUCUUCCUCUCUCUCUCUCUUUUACCUUCUCUCCUCUCCUCUUCUUUCCUCUUCUCUAUAUUUGCUAACUUUUCCUUCUCUCCCUCUCUUCCUCUAUUUCUCUUGUUCUUUCCUUCCUUCCUUUCUCUCAUUCUGUUAAAACAUCAACUUCACUCUCCCCCUCUCCCACCUCUCUCUCCUCCCUUACCCUCCUCCUCUCCAUCCCUCCCUCCUCCUCACCCUCUCUCCCU